rnacentral:rRNA from 1 species
UACGUAGGGUGCAAGCGUUGUCCGGAAUUAUUGGGCGUAAAGAGCUCGUAGGCGGUCUGUCGCGUCGGAUGUGAAAAUCCAGGGCUCAACCCUGGACCUGCAUUCGAUACGGGCAGACUAGAGUUCGGUAGGGGAGACUGGAAUUCCUGGUGUAGCGGUGAAAUGCGCAGAUAUCAGGAGGAACACCGGUGGCGAAGGCGGAUCUCUGGGCCUUACCUGACGCUGAGGCGCGAAAGCUAGGGGAGCGAACAGG